CGGUGAGUGAGCAGAUUUCACAACGCAUCUGAGUGGAGGAAGACAAGGUGUGGGCCUCUCUCCACCUCUCCUUUUCAUCUGUCCUUCCUCCUUUUCUUUACCUGAGCAGUUUGUGGUCCCGUUAUUUAUAUGUCCAUCCAUCCAUCUGUCUAUCGGUGCGGAUCCGCAUUCAUCAAAAGUCGACACCUGGACUCAUCAUCCAAACCCUGCCAUAGCCACGCUUCUGAAUUCUGGUCAGCUGCUGCUUAAUCCUUUUCAUGCAAACUGCCAUUCACACCUGCCUGCCAACCUGCGCACCCGUAAAGGACUCAGUACUCGCCCGGACCUCGCCUCACCUCCACCACCAGCUUAUCCCCGCCUGCAAACACUGAGAAGAAAUGUUGCUAUAAAGAGAAGCCUUUUGUUGCUAAGCAGCAGCGAUAUUGUACAAGAGUGCAUCCCCGCUGUACUGGCUGUUGCUGGUGUUAUGUACAUCAAAGGUAACCCAACACCUGAUCCCCAGGAAACAGAACAAAGAACAAAGCAUGGACCUUGAAACAAAGCAAAGGUAACAACUGUAGCAACUUUAAUACACUGAUGGUCCUUCAGGUAAGUUCAGAAGUCCACAGGUGUGCCACUGGGAUAGAAACUCCACGGAGUUUGACUGAAUGUCUGAUUGACAGCUGUGUUUCCCCAACUUCUUUUCUUAUCUUGUCUUCUACACACGUCCAUUUUGUCCCUCGCUUCUGACACCCCCAGACUCUUUGAUCACUCUGCAUGUUUGUACUGCACUGCAGAGAACGACUGAAGACUAUAGCCAGACUAGGAGAGAAAGAGAUGGAAAGGGGAGGAUAGAGAGAAAACAUUCCAUCUCUUUGUUUUUCUCUCUGUGGCAUCUUGCCUUGUGGGAGUGAGACUCUUUGAGGGGAAUUUGAGAGCUUAACACUGGUGUGUGAUUGAAUUUGUGUGAAUUUGCUUGUGUGUGUGUGCGCACACAGGAACCCAGGAGACCGCCAUAGACUCUCUCUUGUUGACUUCUAAAAGUCCUCCAGUGGCCUGAGACACGACGCUGUUCCACGUCCUCAACUAACCAAACAGAUGUGAGGACAAAAACACAAAGAAGAAAUCAAGAGGAAUAAAAAGAGGGCAGCUGGGAAGAAAAAAAAAAUUAAAUGUACCAGGAAGAAUUCAUUAGGGUUAGAUGUAGAAUACGAGUGAGACUCGGUGCAAGAGACGGAAAUAAAGACAAUUGACAACAGAGGUACAGGGGAUAAGAUAGAGGUACGAAGCUGAUAAAAGUAAAAGACGUUCAGAGGGAUAACAAGGAGACGUGCCAUUCAUCUGUCAAGGUGACAAAAAGUACAGCUGCCAGUUUCCUUCACUGAACAUGUCUUUGCAGAUUUAUUGACUUGUUGUCUUCAAGAGUUCAAAUUGCGGUUAACUGCUGAGUUUGAAGUGGCUUUGGCUGACACUGUAGACACCUUUUAGGUGAAGUAAAA